rnacentral:rRNA from 1 species
GGCGAGGCCGGUACUGACGCUCAGGCACGAAGGCGUGGGGAUCAAACAGGAUUAGAUACCCUGGUAGUCCACGCAGUAAACGAUGAGGACUUGUUGUCGGCGAUAGAAUGUCGGUGACAAAGCGAAAGCGAUAAGUCCUCCACCUGGGGAGUACGAUCGCAAGGUUGAAACUCAAAGGAAUUGACGGGGGCCCGCACAAGCGGAGGAGCAUGUGGUUUAAUUCGAUGAUACGCGAGAAACCUUACCUGGACUCAAAUGUUGAGCGACCGAUUCAGAAAUGGAUCUUCCCUUCGGGGCGCUCAGCAAGGUGCUGCAUGGUUGUCGUCAGCUCGUGCCGUGAGGUGUCAGGUUAAGUCCUAUAACGAGCGCAACCCCUACGCCCAGUUGCCAGCGGGUAAAGCCGGGGACUCUGGGGGAACUGCCCACGCAAGUGGCGAGGAAGGUGGGGAUGACGUCAAAUCAGCACGGCCCUUACGUCCAGGGCGACACACGUGCUACAAUGGCCGGUACAGAGGGCAGCCACCUGGUGACAGGGAGCGAAUCUCGAAAGCCGGUCUCAGUUCGGAUCGGAGUCUGCAACUCGACUCCGUGAAGUUGGAU